AAUUAAUUAAGUGCCAUCUUAAUUUGUUAUUAUAAGUGUAAUAUUAUAUAUAAUAGUGGGAUAUCUUAGGAACAAGCUAGAAUCCCUUGGGACAUCGGGAUUCAACAUUUAGAAAUACGGAGACAUGGAACUACAUUUCCUGCAAUUGUAAUGACCAUGAUAUUUUGGAGUAAUAUGGCUUGGAGUUCACGACCCGAGGAACAAGAGAAUCAAGAUUUCAAAAAUUCGAUAAUUUAAAUUCUCAAAACUCGAGAUAUUUUAACACGUAUUCCAGUGCUUCGGUUUAUAAAUAUCAAGGUAUUCAAGUGAGUGCAGAUAUUCUUUAGUACGUUAUUCAUUCGAGGAUUUAAGGAUUUAAGACUCAUUAUGUCCAUGAAGUGACCAAAAGAAAAAUAGAAAGAAAGAAAACAGGCACGUCCCUAUACAUCAAUGUAUUUCUACCCCUUGCCAAGAGAGCCGACUACUCGAUUUUAAUCCUACACAAUCCCACAGGACAUUCAGCAUCCUCGUCUCUCCAUCUGUAUCCAUGGACCGUCUGUCUUCCUCUAAUCUCGGUGACACUUCUGCCUCUCCACACUGAUCCCGCAACAGUGGCCCAAAGUCUUCAUUGUGAUUUCUCGUACGGCGGAUCCACCCUCGCGUAACCUCUCCAUUGGUUCAUGUGGGAAAGUCGGCCAACGUCGCCAGGAUUUCGUUCGAAGAAUGCCAGGCAUUACGAGCACUCGUCUUCUGGGCGUCAACUUAUAGAGCGCAGGUCAGCCGCAAAACUCACUGCAUCUAACAUCGUCAGAAAUCCACAAAAUCAUCGCCACGAUUUAGCGAAUAAAGCUCUUAAUCGACCGCGACGAAGUUUACCGGUAGCAACUGAUCGA